rnacentral:rRNA from 1 species
GAUGAACGCUGGCGGCGUGCCUAACACAUGCAAGUCGAGCGAUCUUCUUCGGAAGAGAGCGGCGGACGGGUGAGUAACGCGUGGGUAACCUGCCCUGUACACACGGAUAACAUACCGAAAGGUAUGCUAAUACGGGAUAACAUACUUUUAUCGCAUGGUAGAAGUAUCAAAGCUCCGGCGGUACAGGAUGGACCCGCGUCUGAUUAGCUAGUUGGUAAGGUAACGGCUUACCAAGGCGACGAUCAGUAGCCGACCUGAGAGGGUGAUCGGCCACAUUGGAACUGAGACACGGUCCAAACUCCUACGGGAGGCAGCAGUGGGGAAUAUUGCACAAUGGGCGAAAGCCUGAGGCAGCAACGCCGCGUGAGAGAUGAAGGCCUUCGGGUCGUAAAGCUCUGUCCUCAAGGAAGAUAAUGACGGUACUUGAGGAGGAAGCCCCGGCUAACUACGUGCCAGCCGCCGCAGUAAUAC